UGUCGGGAACUCCAGGGAGACUGCCGGUGAUAAACCGGAGGAAGGUGGGGACGACGUCAAGUCAUCAUGGCCCUUACGAGUAGGGCUACACACGUGCUACAAUGGCGCAUACAGAGGGCGGCCAACUUGCGAAAGUGAGCGAAUCCCAAAAAGUGCGUCGUAGUCCGGAUUGGAGUCUGCAACUCGACUCCAUGAAGUCGGAAUCGCUAGUAAUCGUGGAUCAGAAUGCCACGGUGAAUACGUUCCCGGGCCUUGUACACACCGCCCGUCACACCAUGGGAGUGGGCUGCAAAAGAAGUAGGUAGUUUAACCUUC
rnacentral:sRNA from 1 species